AUUGAACGCUGGCGGCAGGCUUAACACAUGCAAGUCGAGCGAGCGGCGGACGGGUGAGUAAUGCCUGGGAAACUGCCUGAUGGAGGGGGAUAACUACUGGAAACGGUAGCUAAUACCGCAUACCAUCGGAUGUGCCCAGAGGGGAUUAGCUAGUAGGUGGGGUAAUGGCUCACCUAGGCGACGAUCCCUAGCUGGUCUGAGAGGAUGACCAGCCAAACUGGAACUUAGACACGGGCCAGACUACUACGGGAGGCAGCAGUGGGGAAGAUUGCGCAAUGGGCGCAACCCUGAUGCAGCCAUGCCGCGUGUAUGAAGAAGGCCUUCGGGUUGUAAAGCACUUGCAGCGGGGAGGCGUUACUCGCAGAAGAAGCACCGGCUAACUCCGUGCCAGCAGCCGCGGUAAUAC
rnacentral:rRNA from 1 species